GGAAUCUUGCGCAAUGGGCGAAAGCCUGACGCAGCGACGCCGCGUGCGGGAAGACGGCCUUCGGGUUGUAAACCGCUUUCAGCAGGGACGAAAUUGACGGUACCUGCAGAAGACGCCCCGGCCCACUACGUGCCAGCAGCCGCGGUAAGACGUAGGGGGCGAGCGUUGUCCGGAUUUAUUGGGCGUAAAGGGCUCCUAGGUGGUUCAGUAAGUCGACUGUGAAAAUCCAAGGCUCAACCUUGGGACGCCAGUCGAUACUGCUGUGACUCGAGUUCGGUAGAGGAGUGUGGAAUUCCUGGUGUAGCGGUGAAAUGCGCAGAUAUCAGGAGGAACACCAACGGCGAAGGCAGCACUCUGGGCCGAUACUGACACUGAAGAGCGAAAGCGUGGGGAGCAAAC
rnacentral:rRNA from 1 species